UGAGAGAUUUUCUUAGAGAGAACAUUCCCGGCUGGCUAGUUUUCAUUGUAGGGGAAGAUGCUAGGAAGACUGCUAUGGGAGAAAAGUCGUCAGCAUUAUUUCUUACCUAUGAACCCUGCAAGCUACAAGCUGUUAUGCAAGCUGUAGCCACUGGUGCCAUGGAGACUAGAGCUUUUCUCAGCCCUGGUCAAGAAGCUUCCCUCUGCUCAAGGUGCUGUGAAUAAGUGACUGAGAGCUUAGCACUAAACAGAACGGCUACACCACCUUUUUCAAGGCUUGGGGAGGAAAUGGGAAGAGUGCAGGAGCUGGAGAAAGCAGAGGAAUGCUGUGAAUUGCCGUCUUCUGGACACGAUAUGGCCAUUGCACUCAUGGACUCCCAACAGCUAUGUUACUUGCACAAGAUCAGCACAAGAUAAGGCCCAUCAAUCUUCCCUGUGGGUGGAGAAGGGCUCAUGAAGCAUCACCUCUUCCCGAGGGGAUAUUGACAGCUCAUUAUUGCUGGAGGAGAGGGAGUAGUUACUAUCAAAGACUAAAAACUUUUAAUUAAAAAGAAUUUUAGUUUUGACGGUUAGGAAGCGAUAGAAUAAUUCCAUAACUAAUACAAGUUUAUUUUAAAACAGACUUCGAAAGUACAUGUUCUAAGUAUCUAAUACACUGAUUACUAUU
rnacentral:lncRNA from 1 species